UCCUCAGUAGCUCAACUGGCAGAGCAUCCGGCUGUUAACCGGAGGGUUGUAGGUUCGAGUCCUACCUGAGGAGCCA
rnacentral:tRNA from 1 species